AUUGAACGCUGGCGGCAGGCUUAACACAUGCAAGUCGAGCGGGGUGAUGGUGCUUGCACUAUCACUUAGCGGCGGACGGGUGAGUAAUGCUUAGGAAUCUGCCUAUUAGUGGGGGACAACAUCUCGAAAGGGAUGCUAAUACCGCAUACGUCCUACGGGAGAAAGCAGGGGAUCACUUGUGACCUUGCGCUAAUAGACGAGCCUAAGUCGGAUUAGCUAGUUGGUGGGGUAAAGGCCUACCAAGGUGACGAUCUGUAGCGGGUCUGAGAGGAUGAUCCGCCACACUGGGACUGAGACACGGCCCAGACUCCUACGGGAGGCAGCAGUGGGGAAUAUUGGACAAUGGGGGGAACCCUGAUCCAGCCAUGCCGCGUGUGUGAAGAAGGCCUUAUGGUUGUAAAGCACUUUAAGCGAGGAGGAGGCUCUUUUGGUUAAUACCCAAGAUGAGUGGACGUUACUCGCAGAAUAAGCACCGGCUAACUCUGUGCCAGCAGCCGCCGUAA
rnacentral:rRNA from 1 species